AUUUUAAUAUAUCUUAUAACUAACAUAUAAUAAAAACAAUUAAAUUAAAAAGUAAUAACUUAGUACUAUAAAGGAACUUUUAAUAAAUUAAAGUAGUGAUUUAAUCACAUACCUUGUGCAUUAUGGUUUUACAAGAUACAAAUUUAUAAAAUUUACCCGAAUUCUACGAGAGCUGUUUUAUCAUAGCUUAGAGCCCACUACUAGUUGUGGCAUCAACUUUAAAAAAUGAUAUGGCAGAGGCUACAUACCACUCGCGCUAGAAAAUUGCUGGUUCUUGAUAAAAAUUAUUAAUUAAACCAUGAAAAGAAAGUAUUUCAAUGUAAAUUUAUAGAGGAUAAGCCCUAUAAUUUAAAGCUACUUGUAAAGAUUUCCUCCUUAUAGGCCUAAAACCAGCCAUUAAAAUUACUUUACCGUAAAUAGUUAUAAAUAUUUAAAUAAACUGCCCCAAUAAAGUCAAGAAUUAAGAUAAACCUUAGUCUUAAAUUAAUAUGUAAAAAUAAGUAUUACAUAAUAUUAUCCCAACUAUCUUAAACUAUCAUUUACAAAGGAACUCGGCAAAUUCUAAUUUCGACUGUUUAACAAAAACAUUGCUUUUUGAUAUAUCAUAAAAAGUAAUUCCUG
rnacentral:rRNA from 1 species